UUCUUCUUCCUCCAUUUUUUAAUUUUCUUGAAAACAUUGUAAGUUUAUGUUCUUCCAAAUAGGUGGUCGCGCUAGCAGAAUAAUUCUACCCUAAUUAAAUGUUAGAUCUACUACUAUGGCUGUAGACCUUGGUAGCAGAAUCUGGCGCUGCUCUUCUUCUCCAUCAUCUCACUUUUACUAAUCAAAUCUUUAAACAUGUGGGCCAUAACUUUAUCUCAUUAAUUUAACUCACCUCUACUCCUUUGGAGAACUAAUCAAUUCCAGUCAUCGGGCAAAAAGGUGGUAUCAACUCCAUAACAUAAACAUAGUUAGAUUACAUAGAAUUGUACAUGAACUUUAAUUUUUAUAUCACAGUAUAACUUUCAAAAUUUAGUCCAAUUUCUUUUUUUGUUGUUGUUGUUUCAAAAUUGCUUUAUGCCGUUGAUAUUGAGAGCUACUGAAAGUGGACUAUUUUGCUGAUUUUUGGGAACAUAUUAUAUUAAAUGACGAGUGAUUUCAAUUGGGGGUUAUGGUUUGGUAUUUUCUAGAGCAGCAAUAGUUCAAGAUAAGUUCAUAAUUUUGAUUAAUAGCAACUUUUUUUCUUGAUUUUCCCCUCCUUUUCCUGUCUAAUUCAGCCCCUGCAUAAGGCCUAAUCCCUGCAAAUUGUAGCAGUUUUCGUAUAGGUCGUGUCUCCAAAUCUCGAACGCCAAAAUGUAGUUCGUAUUAGGAUUCGAAAGGCUCGUUUCUUGAUCUCUAGAUAGUAACUGAUUGUUGGCUGAGUAUGUUUAAAUGCUCCUUUUGUGUUGAUGUUGUGUAUACAUCUAAGCACACCUUGUUUUGAUGCUAAUUCGUUGCUUUACAUACGAGAUAUCCAGGUAUAGAUACGGUUUUGGUCGAAGCUAGCAUCGUAUGGCGCAUGCCGCUUUGGUGUCUUGCUCUUUAAACCUCUCCUCGGGCAGCAGGUCGUGCAGCAAGCCUUCGACCCAUCUUACACCCUCUGUGUCUGUGAGUUUACGGAUUUCUGGAUCACCGUUCCGAAGGAUUCCUCUCAAGGUCGAUAAAAGGUUGCAGAGAUGCCGGACUGUCUAUGCUAUGGCUGUUUCAAUGGGUCAAGAAACGAGGGUUCAGCCUGGAUCAGGGUCCGAUCACAGCUCUAACGAAGCUUCCUCGCCAAAGAAGGUCAUGGUGAUCGGUGGUGAUGGCUAUUGUGGUUGGGCUACUUCGUUGCAUCUCUCGAACAAGAACUACGAGGUUGCUGUUGUUGACAAUCUCGUCCUCAAUAAAUAAAGAAUUGAGAUCACCUCAAUAAAUAAUUGCAAAUGCAAGUAUUUAAUUUUUUUAGGGUAUUUUCUAUUGAGAUAUUUGUUUUUGAUGCAGAUUAAAAUGUUUAUCUAUUUUAAGAAAUCAUAA